GCUUAAGACUAGCCUUACGAAUCCCUUUUCCUAUUAAUCAAAACUUUAUAGAAAGAGAUAAACUGAUUUUUACCAUUCAUUCAACGGGCACAGAGAGAGAGAAUGGUUUGCACAGAGAGAACGAGAGAGGCCAGAAGUCUGACUGGUUCAAGUUCUGGACUGCCGUCAAGUUAGUCAAGUUUUAAAAAUAUGGAUGACGAUAUGACCACAGUAUUUGGGCUCUGCAGGUGAUGCUAAAGUACAGCCGGCUGAGAACUGCUGCCCUGGGCCAGGGCCGUCCAAUAGAAACACAGCAUGAGCCGAAGAUGUGCUUUUCAUUGUCUAGUGGCCACAUUAAAAAGAUGCAGAUGAAACUCAUUGCAAUAACAUUGUAUUUCACGUGAUGAUUUCAACAUGGGAUCAGUGUCAAAUUACUAGUGAGAUGUUUCAGUCUUUCCAUCACGCUGGCUCUCCACAGUUCCAUGUGUCCUUUGCCUUCACGGCCAUUUCCACGUAGACAGCCGCGCUCCAGGGUGUGAGCGCUUAGCCAGUGCCUGCACUUCUGCUCUGACCUCUCGUUUUACAUGUGGGUAAACUGAGGCCCAGAAUGCUGGGACUCAGAGCAUGCAGUCCUGACCCCUGCUCACAUCGAUGCCCUUGGGAAACAGUCACCUCCCAGGACCUCUCUGCCAGCAUUGCCUGUGGAGUGGGGUCGGGGUAGAGGAUGGGGCCACCUUCCACCCGGCAGGGCCCGGGACUGCGGCUGUGAAGGCUGCACGGCCUCGAACAGGGGCUCCCGUGGGAACGCAGGGCCCCCAGGUGCUGGGCCCUUUCCAGGAGCUGUCGCUGUCAGAAGUCAGGCUUUGCUCCCUUUCCACAUCUGGGUGGGAGAGGCCUGGGAAAAGCUCUGCCUGCCUGCGUGUUUGAUGGGUUAGGUGGAUGGAUGAGUGAGCGCUCCAGUGAAUGAAUGGGUGUUCCCAUUCUCGCUUCUGCCGCCCCGUCCACUUUCUGGGUACUCAAGCGAACUGCCCCAGGCAGGAGUUAGACUCCCCAAGGUCAAGGAAUGGCUGUGACUGGACUCACUUUCCUGGUGAAUCUGGCGGUUGCCAGAUUCUGAGAGUUUUAGUCCUGAGACCAGCACCUGCUCCAGCCAGUGUCUCAGCCACCCCCAGAGAAACAGUGGCCUCAGAAAAGGAUUCUGGAAGAGGAAAGAGUGGCUGGCAUUUCUGAUAUUUUUCCUGGGUCCUGACCAACUAAACCUAGAAGGAAGCAGCAGCUCUUACCCCCAUCCACACCCCCAGAUUUCUUCUAGGUAGAAAGCUGAAAGCAUUGACAGUGAGAAUUCAAAUCCCUGUGGAGGUCAGUGAAGCCCACCCAGGCAGGCCAGGCCGAGACUCUCUGUCCAGAGCUUGCUGUGGGAGGGCAGUCACCACCAUCACGUGCAAUCUCAAAGCCUCUGAGUCACCAUCACAUGCAAUUUCAGAGCCUCUGAGUCAGGCAGGGGAUGGGGCCUCACUAAGGCAAAGGAAGCCCAGGUCCCGUGCAGGCUGCAGCUGGGUGUGCUGGGGGUGGCUCAUCAGACGGGCGGUGAGGGGUUGGUGAGGGAGCAUGUGUGGCUUUCUCUGGUUGGCUCUGAGUUGGAAGCGAGGACAAAAGCCAUAGGACCUGUCGGUGAUGGAUGCAUUCCUGGCCCUCUGGGGCCGGCUGGUCCAGGGAUUGCGUUGUGGCUGCCUGAGUCGUCGCUAGAGGAGGUCUGACUUCUGGCAAGUCUGACUGUGGAGCAGGCCAGCCCCCUGGACUGGCUGCUGCAGGUGUGCUUGGCUCUGUUUUGAUGGUUGUGCUCGUCAUUGUUUGUAUUUCAGCCUCUCCUAUCUCAAAAAAUUCAACCAUCAGCAGUUACACAUGGUUUUAAAACAAAGAGCUUCCUAACCUUGUUCCACUUGCUGGCUUCAUCUCUACCUAAAGCGUUUUUCUAGCCCUGACCAAUCUCCCCGAGGGUAGGGAGGCCCGUGGAAGGGUCAAGGCAGCCUUUCGCCCUGGGCAGCUCACCACGGGGUGGCUCGGCCUCCUGCCUCUCUUUGGCCCCCAAAGCCCUGACUGCUCUCCGAGCAGGAACGCGCCUCCCCGCAGCUGGGCCUCCAUCCGCCCAUCUCAGGGAAUCCCAGGGUGUCUGCAGCUUGAGGAGUUUGGGUCCCCAGGAGGCCACUCCCAGCUUCGGGCAUGGAGUGGACUGGGUCACACUGGGACAGGUCAGGGACUGUGGGUACAGUUGUUAGAGAUGGAGAGUUGCAGAGACAGCCCAUCCGCCAUGGACGGGGGUGAUCCCCAGUAACAAUGGGGCAACCGAAGCCAGAGUUGGCCAGGAAGUUCAGACAGUGCCCCAGGAGGGCUCACUUCUUAGGGCUGGUCAGCUGAAUCCUGUCCUCUGCCUGCCCCAAUCUGCCCUGGGGACAGGGCAUUUGCCCUUGGUGGGUGCUCUGUUACUGCUGACCUGCUGUGCCUGCUCACAGCUAUAGAAUCCUGA
rnacentral:lncRNA from 10 species